UUUUAGCCCCGAUAGAAGUGGAAAUCCUUUUUAUUUUUUCUUUAAAAAUAAAAAGAUUGCAACGAAUAGCGGGAAUAGCU
rnacentral:sRNA from 1 species